rnacentral:lncRNA from 1 species
GAUUUACGAUGAAGCCAUAUGUUUCGGGACUGUUUCUAGAUGACAAUACGGUAUGUUUUUUUUCACUUUUGAAGGCCGUAAGGUUGCAUAUAAUUGCUUCAAUUCACUUCAUUUGAACGUUGGUGGAAAGUUGUCUCAUUGGCAAUCACACCAUAUCUCCGUAUUUUAUAUAGAGAAAAUAUUUGUUUUAUGACCACACAUAUCGGUUAUCCAAUAUAUAGGAGUACAUCUGAGCCGCUGCUUUCAAGUCUUGUGUCAGAACAAACUUUUAGUUUAACCCCAGUGUAAAGUGCUGUCUGUUAUGUUUGAUGAUCG